UACGUAGGGUGCGAGCGUUGUCCGGAAUUAUUGGGCGUAAAGGGCUCGUAGGCGGUCUGUCGCGUCGGGAGUGAAAACUCAGGGCUUAACCCUGAGCCUGCUCCCGAUACGGGCAGACUAGAGGUAUGCAGGGGAGAACGGAAUUCCUGGUGUAGCGGUGAAAUGCGCAGAUAUCAGGAGGAACACCGGUGGCGAAGGCGGUUCUCUGGGCAUUACCUGACGCUGAGGAGCGAAAGUGUGGGGAGCGAACAGG
rnacentral:rRNA from 1 species